rnacentral:lncRNA from 1 species
CGGAGAUAAUGGAAGUAACAUGGCCACCACAGUCGUAACACUGUUAUUAAUAACAAUGAAAUCCAGUGUAGAGUCCAAGGAGGGCAAUCCCUAUGCCCUCCUGCAAAUCUGCUGAUUGAAUCUGGGGAAGCCAAUCACCAUUGCUCUGGAUACUUGAAGAGACGGACAUUAGGGUUGCAUACUCUGUGAGCUGCGUUGAUUGACGUCAUGUGCUCUAGUACUAAACAAUUCAUUGACACACACAUUUCAGUAAACGGGAAAAAGAUGUGGAUAAGAGUGCAGGAUGCACUACAGCCUAGGUCAUUUCUUGACUGUGUUUAAUUUUAUGCUAACUCUUUAGUCAACUGGAAAACAUAGAGAAUUUGCCUUGAUUCAUUCUCCUUCUUAUAUCUGGAUAGGCAAAUAUUACCACCAUCAACAUGAUAAUAUUAUGAAUGAUAACUUAAGCCAUUCAUUGAGAACUCACUCUGUGCCACAUGCUGUUCUAAGUCUUUUCUGUGGAUGGAUCAGUUUAACUUUAACAAAACCCCUGUGAAGUAGGUGAAUGUCAUUAUCCCCAUUUUUCCAAUUAAGGAACUAGGGUUUAUAAAAGUUAUGAAAUGUGCUUAUGGUCAAGCAGAGCCUGGGUCCUGGGCCACUAUGUGUGUUGCCCUACUGAGUACAUGUGUUGAGGUGGGUAUAGAGAUGAAGUAUAUCAAGCCUCUGCCCACGAAGGUAAGUGGAAGGCAGCAGACAUAAAUAGUGAGGUGCAAUUCAAAGCAGGAUGGUAUGAGGAUCACAAGAGACACCGAAACAAAGGAAAACAGAAUGGAGAUGUUCAGGCUCUUGCUGACCCUGUAGUCAGAAGUCACACAUGCUUCAACAAAGCUGGCAUCAUUCAAAACAGAUGGCCUGCUGGGAGUGGCACAGCUUGGAUUUCAUCUUGUCAGAUCCUGGAAUUUCAGCACUGACAAGUGUAUUCCUAUCCUGUUCCUGUGAUCUAUUAUUUUCACCUAUCAAUUUGCCUUCAAAUUUCAAAAUGAGGUUGGACCUCCUGAGAUCCUACAGUGUACAGAGCCCCUCUGCCAACCCUCAGUGGACACUCGAUAUAACAGGGAAAACUAAACCUUUUCUUUAGGACAUUGGAAUGUUGGUGUUAUUUGUUACAUAGAAUGACCUAGCUCAUUCUAACCAACAGAUCUGGCAAGUUAUAGGUCAAGCUGCAUAAUUUAAAGCCUCCCCUGCAGGAGACUUCGCUUUGACAAGAGUAGAGGAAAAGAGUGGUGCUUAUAGACUCCCUAAGUUCCCAAAACUUUGAUUAAUAGAGAUGACUGACAUGACUCAGAGUUAAUGCUUCGAGUUAAUGCUCAGAGUUAAUUAGUCCAUUGCCAUUUGCAGUACAAAAGCCUACUUACACUUCUUAGUAAAGACAAUGACAAGCAAAAGAGAAGGAAGAAAGAUAGGGUGGGGGAAAUAAAUCGAUGUGAGGAAUUUUAAGGCUGAUUGCU